rnacentral:rRNA from 1 species
AUUGAACGCUGGCGGCAGGCCUAACACAUGAAAGUCGAACGAGUGGCGGACGGGUGAGUAAUGUAUGGGAAACUGCCCGAUGGGGGGGGAUAACUACUGGAAACGGUAGAUAAUACCGCAUACCAUCGGAUGUGCCCAGCUGGGAGUAGCUAGUAGGGGGGGUAACGGCUCACAGAGGCGACGAUCCCUAGCUGGUCUGAGAGGAUGACCAGCCAUACUGGAACUGUGACACGGUCCAUACGCCUACGGGAGGCAGCAGUGGGGAAUAUUGCACAAUGGGCGCAAGCCUGAUGCAGACAUGCCGCGUGGAGUAAGAAGGCCUUCGGGUUGUAAAGUACUUUCAGCGAGGAGGCGUUACUCGCAGAAGAAGCACCGGCUAACUCCGUGCCAGCAGCCGCGGUAAUUC